GCUUUUUAAAAUCCCCCUGCUGGAGAUAGUAUGGGGGCUUGGAAAGGUGGUGCCCUGGGGGAAAGUCAUAAGCCUUCCUUGCUGGGGGGUGGGGGUGGGGCUGCGGGAAGAGAGGGCAGCUGAGGUUCACUGUGCCUGUUCCCUCCUAGGCAACUGGAAUUACUUUGGCUGGGGAGAACAGAGUAAGUAAAGAGAAGUGGGCAUCUUGAAGACCCCAAGGCCCCUCAUUACGUGGCCCCAUAUGUGACCUCACCCUCACAUCCCCAUCUCUGUUCCCCUGUCACCACUCUAGAAGUGACCCCAUGUCACACUGAUGCAGGAGAAUGGGGCCUGGUCGUCAACAGCAGCCAGGGCCAUGUCCUUGAGGGAAAACCAGUUUCCUAAGACAUCCUUACCCUUGUCGACCAUUAGCCCAACAUCCAUGAGGCCCUUGGUUCCAGUGUCGCCUGUACAAAGCAGAUACUUCUGGUUAAAGCCUCAGUCUGGUUGUGUCACAGGGAAGCUAGUGGGGCCCAAAGUAGAUGAUUCUCUCCAAGCCAAAGUGGUAGGCAGUUUGGUCAAAAACCCUAUGUUGGAGCAGGUGGGAUGGCUCAGUGGGAACUCAGGGAUCUGAGCUCAGUCUCUGUCACCCACAGCAGAAGGCGAGAGCUGAUUCCUGCAAUAUUUUCUCUGGCUUCUAUACACGUGCUGUGUCACACGUGCCCCUACAAUGAAUACAUGUAAUAUUUUUUUUUUCGAGGCAGGGUUUCUCUGUGUUGCCCUGACUGUCCUGGAACUUACUGUGUAUGUAGAUAGGCUGGCCUCAGACUCAGAGAUCCACCUGCCUCUGACUCCCAAGUGCUGGGAUUAAAGGCAUGCGCCACCACGUCCAGAAUAAUAUAAUACUUUU
rnacentral:lncRNA from 1 species